CCUACGGGAGGCAGCAGUGGGGAAUCUUGCGCAAUGGGGGCAACCCUGACGCAGCCAUGCCGCGUGAAUGAUGAAGGCCUUAGGGUUGUAAAGUUCUUUUGCCCGUGACGAUGAUGACGGUAACGGGAGAAUAAGCUCCGGCUAACUUCGUGCCAGCAGCCGCGGUAAUACGAAGGGGGCUAGCGUUGUUCGGAAUUACUGGGCGUAAAGCGCGCGCAGGCGGUUCGAUAAGUUAGGGGUGAAAUCCCUGGGCUCAACCCAGGAAUGGCCUUUAAGACUGUCGAGCUAGAGGACGAGAGAGGUGAGUGGAAUUCCCAGUGUAGAGGUGAAAUUCGUAGAUAUUGGGAAGAACACCGGUGGCGAAGGCGGCUCACUGGCUCGUUUCUGACGCUGAGGCGCGAAAGCGUGGGGAGCAAACAGGAUUAGAUACCCUGGUAGUCCACGCCCUAAACGAUGAGUGCCAGGUGUCGGGAAGCUUAGCUUCUCGGCGCCGCAGCUAACGCCUUAAGCACUCCGCCUGGGGAGUACGGCCGCAGGUUAAACUCAAAGGAAUUGACGGCUGAGACGUUGCGAGACGACGACGAGGGAGGAGG
rnacentral:rRNA from 1 species